rnacentral:rRNA from 1 species
UACGUAGGGUGCAAGCGUUGUCCGGAAUUAUUGGGCGUAAAGGGCUCGUAGGCGGUUUGUCGCGUUCGGGGAGUGAAAAACAUCUGGCUUAAACUGGGUGCUUGCUUUCGAUACGGGCAGACUGGAGGUAUGCAGGGGGAGAACGGAAUUCCUGGUGUAGCGGUGAAAUGCGCAGAUAUCAGGAGGAACACCGGUGGCGAAGGCGGUUCUCUGGGCAUGACCUGACGUGAGGAGCGAAAGUGUGGGGAGCGAACAGG